GCUUGUCUCAAAGAUUAAGCCAUGCAUGUCUAAGUAUAAAUAGUAUACAGUGAAACUGCGAAUGGCUCAUUAAAACAGUUAUAGUUUAUUUGAUAAUUGAAAAUUACAUGGAUAACCGUGGUAAUUCUAGAGCUAAUACAUGCUAUCAAGCCCGACUUCUUGAAGGGUGUAUUUAUUAGAUAAAAAACCAAUGCCCCUCGGGGCUCCUUGGUGAAUCAUAAUAACUUAACGAAUCGCAUGGCCUUGCGCCGGCGAUGGUUCAUUCAAAUUUCUGCCCUAUCAACUUUCGAUGGUAGGAUAGUGGCCUACCAUGGUGGCAACGGGUAACGGGGAAUUAGGGUUCGAUUCCGGAGAGGGAGCCUGAGAAACGGCUACCACAUCCAAGGAAGGCAGCAGG
rnacentral:rRNA from 1 species